rnacentral:rRNA from 1 species
UACGUAGGAGGCAAGCGUUGUCCGGAAUUACUGGGCGUAAAGCGCGUGUAGGUGGUGGGACAAGUCUGCUGUGAAAGCGCCUGGCUUAACCGGGCGAGGUCGGCGGAAACUGUCCGACUAGAGGACGGUAGAGGGGGGUGGAAUUCCCGGUGUAGUGGUGAAAUGCGUAGAGAUCGGGAGGAACACCUGUGGCGAAGGCGGCCCCCUGGGUCAACACUGACGCUCAUGCACGAAAGCGUGGGGAGCAAACAGG